GACCCCAUGCCGAACUCAGAAGUGAAACGCCGUAGCGCCGAUGGUAGUGUGGGGUCUCCCCAUGCGAGAGUAGGACACUGCCAGGC
rnacentral:rRNA from 2 species